rfam:Lactobacillus pobuzihii strain NBRC 103219 NODE_13, whole genome shotgun sequence.
UCUAUCGUGAGGCAGAGCCCUAGACAAAGCACCGAAUUGAUGUACAAAAAGUGGCUAAAGAGCUGAAAACGGAGGGAUGAGAUUGCGUAACAAUUUGAAAUUCUCAACCACUCGAAACCGUAACAGUAAAGCCAAGGGUUGGAUGCGAAAGCUACUGUU